rnacentral:rRNA from 1 species
UACGUAGGGCGCAAGCGUUGUCCGGAAUUAUUGGGCGUAAAGAGCUCGUAGGCGGCUUGUCACGUCGGUUGUGAAAGCCCGGGGCUUAACCCCGGGUCUGCAGUCGAUACGGGCAGGCUAGAGUGUGGUAGGGGAGAUCGGAAUUCCUGGUGUAGCGGUGAAAUGCGCAGAUAUCAGGAGGAACACCGGUGGCGAAGGCGGAUCUCUGGGCCUUACCUGACGCUGAGGAGCGAAAGCAUGGGGAGCAAACAGG